rnacentral:rRNA from 1 species
UACGGGGGGGGCAAGCGUUGUUCGGAAUUACUGGGCGUAAAGGGCGCGUAGGCGGCCUGCUAAGUCGAACGUGAAAUCCCUGGGCUCAACCCAGGAACUGCGUCCGAUACUGGCUGGCUUGAAUCCGGGAGAGGGAUGCGGAAUUCCAGGUGUAGCGGUGAAAUGCGUAGAUAUCUGGAGGAACACCGGUGGCGAAGGCGGCAUCCUGGACCGGUAUUGACGCUGAUGCGCGAAAGCCAGGGGAGCAAACGGG